rfam:Variovorax sp. JS1663 JS1663_0024, whole genome shotgun sequence.
GUCAACAACCCCGUCCUAAACGACGGGGCUUGCAAGGAGAAAUCCAAACAAGCCCAAUGUUGACCAGACCAAGCGGUAACCAUCCCGCUACGUUGCGUAGAAGUUAAAGACCCACCCUGGAAUGCUUCCUCAGUUCCAGGCUCUGGAAGUUGCAGAUGCAGACACGCUUCGGGUGAGCACGAAACGGUUUGCGACCGAAGGCCUUCGUUGACCUUCAGGCUGCUACUCAACAUGGUCGAGGGGAGCGGUGU